AUUGAACGCUGGCGGCAGGCCUAACACAUGCAAGUCGAACGGUAGCACAGAGAGCUUGCUCUCGGGUGACGAGUGGCGGACGGGUGAGUAACGUCUGGGAAACUGCCCGAUGGAGGGGGAUAACUACUGGAAACGGUAGUUAAUACCGCAUAACGUCGCAAGACCAAAGUGGGGGACCUUCGGGCCUCACACCAUCGGAUGUGCCCAGAUGGGAUUAGCUAGUAGGUGGGGGAAUGGCUCACCUAGGCGACGAUCCCUAGCUGGUCUGAGAGGAUGACCAGCCACACUGGAACUGAGACACGGUCCAGACUCCUACGGGAGGCAGCAGUGGGGAAUAUUGCACAAUGGGCGCAAGCCUGAUGCAGCCAUGCCGCGUGUAUGAAGAAGGCCUUCGGGUUGUAAAGUACUUUCAGCGGGGAGGAAGGCGGUGAGGUUAAUAACUUCACCGAUUGACGUUACCCGCAGAAGAAGCACCGGCUAACUCCGUGCCAGCCGCCGCAGUAA
rnacentral:rRNA from 1 species